rnacentral:rRNA from 1 species
UACGAAAGGGGGGCUAGCGUUGCUCGGAAUCACUGGGCGUAAAGGGUGCGUAGGCGGGUCUUUUUAAGUCAGGGGUGAAAUCCUGGAGCUCAACUCCAGAACUGCCUUUGAUACUGGCGAUCUUGAGUCCGGGAGAGGUGAGUGGCGAACUGCGAGUGUAGAGGUGAAAUUCGUAGAUAUUCGCAAGAACACCAGUGGCGAAG